rnacentral:SRP_RNA from 1 species
GCCGGGCGUGGUGGUGCACGCCUGUAAUCCCAGCUACUCGGGAGGCUGAGGCACAAGAAUCGUUUGAACCCAGGAGGCAGAGGUUGCAGUGAGCCGAGAUUGUGCCACUGCACUCUAGCCUGGGUGACAAAGCGAGAUUCUGUCUCAA